UGGGGAAUAUUGCACAAUGGGGGAAACUCUGAUGCAGCGACGCCGCGUGAGUGAAGAAGUAUUUCGGUAUGUAAAGCUCUAUCAGCAGGGAAGAAAAUGACGGUACCUGAGUAAGAAGCCCCGGCUAACUACGUGCCAGCAGCCGCGGUAAUACGUAGGGGGCAAGCGUUAUCCGGAUUUAUUGGGUUUAAAGGGUGCGUAGGCGGAUGGGUAAGUCAGCGGUGAAAUGUCCCGGCUCAACCGGGGAACUGCCAUUGAUACUGCCUGUCUUGAAUGCGGAUGCCGUGGGAGGAAUGUGUAGUGUAGCGGUGAAAUGCAUAGAUAUUACACAGAACACCGAUUGCGAAGGCAUCUCACGAAUCCGUUAUUGACGCUGAGGCACGAAAGCGUGGGGAUCAAACAGGAUUAGAUACCCUGGUA
rnacentral:rRNA from 1 species